rnacentral:rRNA from 1 species
GGAGCAAACAGGAUUAGAUANCCUGGUAGUCCACGCCGUAAACGAUUGAUAACUAGCUGUCAGGGCUCUUGGAGUUUUGGUGGCGCAGCUAACGCAUUAAGUUAUCCGCCUGGGGAGUACGGCCGCAAGGUUAAAACUCAAAGAAAUUGACGGGGGCCUGCACAGGCGGUGGAGCAUGUGGUUUAAUUCGAAGCAACGCGCAGAACCUUACCAGCGUUUGACAUGGUAGGACGACUUCCAGAGAUGGAUUUUUCCCUUCGGGGCCUACACACAGGUGCUGCAUGGCUGUCGUCAGCUCGUGUCGUGAGAUGUUGGGUUAAGUCCCGCAACGAGCGCAACCCUCGUCUUUAGUUGCUACCAUUUAGUUGGGCACUCUAAAGAAACUGCCGGUGAUAAGCCGGAGGAAGGUGGGGAUGACGUCAAGUCCUCAUGGCCCUUACGCGCUGGGCUACACACGUGCUACAAUGGCGGUGACAGUGAGCAGCGACCCCGCGAGGGUGAGCUAAUCUCCAAAAACCGUCUCAGUUCGGAUUGUUCUCUGCAACUCGAGAGCAUGAAGGCGGAAUCGCUAGUAAUCGCGGAUCAGCAUGCCG